UGUUGCAGCCGGAAGAGAUCUCCUGAGAAAGUCUGCUUUGCUUGAAGAGUGUUUAAUAGACAGAAGGUGCUUCCUUUCUAGGAGCUGAAAUUUACCUUCUAACCAUUCCUUUCAGUCCAAUGAAGAUUCCCUACUGCAAGAAGGGUGUAGGAAUACCACAAAAAGGCUUAUGCAAUACAAGAUGCCUGCUGCCCUUCUAGGAAGAACCUCUUACUGAAAUGAAAGAAACAAGACCAACCAGAUGACAUUGCCUGCUGGCGGAGGGAGGAUGCAGACUAGCAGGAAGAAAACCAUACUAGCUCUCCCAGGGUGAUGUCCAUCUCCAAAAAAUGAACAUUUCAUGUGAUGUCCCAUAACUGCUCCUUGCUCUGGUCUAUCUUCGUUUUAAUUAAAACUCAGAUGUUCACUAUCCUCACAUUAGCCCAUAUUUGGCCUCUACCAAUUGGUUGAAAUUUUUGGCUGAGUCAUUCUUACUGGACUGUGUGGUGUUAAGACAGUAAGUGCUCAUACCUUGUCUUUCCUUGAAGGUUCCUGUGUUUCCUUAGAUUUCAGGUUAGUUACCCUGAGAUCUUAACUUCAAAAGUAGUUGUGGGUUCAAAAGUAGUUGUGAAUAUAUUGAGUAUCUGAAUGUUUUUAUUAUUUUAAGGCUGGGAGUGAUGUGCUUUUCUGCUUUGUACACCCUCAACAGAACCCAAAACUUCACUCUUCUGUUCUGAAGAAGGUCAAAGCCAAAUUCUAGACUACAAUGUAAUUAUCCUAUAGAAAUUUGUGGUUUCACUUUUAUAUUUGGCCUCAUUUUUAUUGUGUUGCAUAUAUUUUUUUUUAAAAUAACCUCAAACCUUUUAAGAAAUUUCUGCCUAAUAAACAAAAAGAUAGGUAGGAAGGUCUAUCUGCUUUUCUGUCACCUCCCUUUUAAGAGAAUUCUAGCUUUCCCACUUAGUUUCUCUUCUUUUUUCCUUUUGCCUAUGCUUUUAUUUGAAAUAAGGACCCAAGAAGAAAAGGAAAGCAAAGAGGGACAGUAGCAUGCAGAUUAGAGUUAAAGUAGAGGUUUUUAAUAGUCAUUAAAAAUGAAACACAGAAACAUCUUGAAUGUGCGAAUAAAAAAAAAGGGAGAAAAAGGAGAACUUAAAUGAGUACUGCUGUGGAACGUGUAUUCUUGCAUGAGUAUAAUGAGAGACAAAUAAAGACAUUAUUUUAAAGGUUCUUUUUGGCUGAGAGAUUUUUUUCUGUUACGUGAGAUGAGGCCAUGCACGUCAUGCAAUGGCUUUAUCAUAUCAUAUAAAAAAUGUUUGGGGAUUUUGUGAAAGAUUGUUAAAACAAUCCAAAGAUUUCUUUCAUCUUUAACAUAUAUUGUUCUGCAUUGUUUUAUAAAAUAUAUAAUAUUCCC